AUACCCUCGAAUCAGAACCCGAUUUCUCCUCGAUAGUUGUAUUAUGUUUCUUUCUUCUUUAUGAUAUCUUUUCAUCUUCAGACAAAAUAUACGGAUAGUUGUGAGAAGAAGAUAUACGGAUUACGAAGGAGUAAACACCAUUAAAAGUCACAACCUGUUAAGGCUUAUGAGUGAUGGAUUAUCAGCCUGGACUGUUGCAGCUACUGGUUGCGGUAUUUCCUGGCAUUUUUGGUAUAUUAAUAUAUUUCGCAUUACAAUCUCAAAGAAGUGAUGAUGAUAACCAUACUUUACGGCUGUAUACACACCUCAUUUCGGUUGGUGUUAUUCGUGAUCCGUGAACUCCAAGCACUAAUUGGCUAUGCAAUAGUCAUAUGUUAAUGGGCUUAUAUAUUAGUUGGACUGCGCCAAACUUAUUUCGCUUUUUGAUCUUUAUUUUCGUUAUAUAUUUGCCGUUUUUGUUUUCAUUGUUAUAUAUUCACGGGAUAUGUUGAAUAUCCUUUCUUCUAUAAUUUUUUUUUCAUAGAGAAAGAAAAUGAAAUCCAUUGAGUUACAGUUUCUAUAUUCCUUUAAUGAAACUGUAAUUGG